UUUUGCUAUCAGUUAUCGUUCCUUCAACAACUACAUUAAACAUUUAAUAUUUAAGUAAGGUUUUUCUCUCGAAAAUCUAGGUUGUAUAGAAUGAACAUUGUUAAUUUUUCUCAUUUUGUGAUUUGCUGUUCCUACCUUACCCAAAUUUAACUAAUUCAACGUGUUUUAUCAUUUGACAAAUGUAGGCAUAGUGCAUCGAACUGGCUAGAGAAAGCUAAUCAGUGCAUUCACAUUAGUUAGAGUGGUUAGAGCCAUUAUUAAGUAAUUACUUAUUUCUAAUCUAGAUCGUCUCGUGUAGCACUGUCCAAAACUGGUUUCUGAGCCUCUACAAAUGUGACGCACGGAAUGUGUCGCAAUUUAGGUUAAAGAAAUGUAUGUCGAGUAGAUUUUCGAAAUAUGGAGUUCAGUGAGUUCAGCUUUCUAUUUAUUAUCUUGCAACUGUGAGUAAUCACCUCACCACGUUUGAGACCUCAAGAACCAGGUGCAUUCCUGCUUUUUAUACAGUUAGCAACUAGAUUAUUACUUACGAGGGUUAUUAACUACUGAUGACACCAGGAACCGAAACAUUAAGCUACUUAAUGAUGAGCUGACAGCACAUAUUGCAGAUGUACCUAUCUCUGGACAAUUGUACUUAUUGAUCAUUGAUAUAGACCCUAGUUUUAUUCCCGAUUUCUGACUCAUCUUCAGACCAAAGGUCAUCAGAAUGCUUUUAAAGUUUGCCUUUACCGCGGCCGCUGAUCUAAUCCAAGAGGCAAAUAAUUUCUCUCUGCUGCAACUAUUGGGGUGUUGUAAGAAAGAAAAAGAAUGCGAAAUGGACUUCAUUCUGUUGUUACCUGAGGAAGUAUCCCUUAUGAUUUUAGAGCAGCUGAAUGGACAAUCAUUACUAGCCUGUAGCCGUGUUUGCCGAAGGUGGAAUAACUUCUGUAAUUCGCAUGAAUCUCUGAGGAGCAUUAUUGAAGAGGAAAAGCGAUUUGCAGCUAUGAGGCGAACUUUCAAAUCCUAUGAGCGAGGUGUUGACCAAGCCAUCUAUCUCAGUUUAAUCUACGACUACCUGUUUGAGAUAUGUCAAGCAACACAGUUUUUUAUGAAAAUACCGUACCGUGCUAUCUCUUUAUUAAAAUCAUGAUAAACUCACUGUAAGAGUUACUUUAUCGCUACUCAUGAAAAUAUCAAAUGAUGUCAUAAGAGGCAGCUACUCAAGGCUAGUGGAAAAGAAAGUAGGGUUUUAUUAUUGUUUCCAGAUAAAAUCUCUAUGUAAGUUUCUCAGUUAAGUUUUUUCUAUGUUUUUUUUUUUGUACUUGCAAAAAGUUAUUUUAGCAUUUGGAGACACCUAUGAGCCAUUGUUCUUAGAAUUUUUGGUAUAUUUUAUAAAUGCAAGCCUUCAAAGACAGUUACUGAAGAUAAUCUCAAUCGCAGUAUUAAAUAGUACUUAAUUUUAUUCUGUUGAACUGGUAGGUUUUAAGUUAAAUUUUAAAUUUAUAUUUUUUAUGAGUCAUGACUUGUUUUAAGACUUUACCAAUCGUUAAUAUCAAUUUUAUGUAAGAUGUUUACACUUGUAUGGAAGUAAACACUGUCAAGAAACUUGAUCCAUCUCUUGGGAUUGGGGUGAAUUAUUUCUUUUAAUUUUCUCUAUGCUGUUCAAAUUAAAGAUGUUAACUUUAGCUCAUUCUUCACAAUUUGUUAGCAAGAAAUCAUCUUCUUACCUUUUUCCUGUCUCAAGUAGAUCAAAUUUGUCAGUAUAAAUUCACCAAUUUCUUCACUGAACAAUGCAUUGAAUUAGCCCAGGAAACUAUACAAAUGCGUUACUGAUGUAAAGUUUGUUUAGUUUAGCAACCAUGUAGAUGUUGAAUCCCCAGUCAAAAAAUUAUGAUGUCAUUCAGACCACAUUUAACCAUCCACCGAAGCUAAACCUCUCUUGCUUUUCCUGAACUAUUUUUAAAGUCUGAAUGAAAAAGUAACAAUGGAACCUUUUAACACUAAAAAAUUCCUGUUAAAUUAUAACUAAAAUUAUCAUUGUAGCAAGAGGUGAUGGAACUGGGUUUUAGCUCAACACAUCAAAAUUUUUGAUCUCAUUGAGCCUAGAAUUAAGUGUCAUCAGCAGAAAGAAUCUAUCAGCACUAUGAGAUUUGAAAAAGCAUGUAUGUGUCUACAGUUUAUAAAAUUAUGAUCUUCAAAUUCUGAUUGUAGUUGGAUCCAAUCUGCUCAGAUACAUUCAGUUUUAUGUUAUUAAUCUCGGGAUUUAGAGACUUGAAAGCCUAGAUUGAAGAUUGAAAUCUUGCAGCAUCAAUCUUCAUACAUUUAGCCUUACAUUGGAAACGAUUUUGUUUUAAAACCAUUCCUACUUUUAUAAGGACCAGUCGCCACUUCAUCGUCCAAAACUUAACUAUUGGACUCUCCAUUAUCACAUUUUUCAGGAGUAGCGAAGUGAAAAAUAUGAAAAAAAGAGUAAAGGCCACAAUAUAUUUUAAGGAAAAGAAGAGAUUUGAUGGAAAUGAUUUUUACCUCUUAUGAAAAAAUUUUUUUUACAUAUCAGCGUACUUACUCAUCUGUCGCAAGGUAGUUCAAAAAAUCAAAUUAUAAGCCUUUUCACUAUCAAACAUUUUUGCCAUCCCUCAACCUAUCUCUCUAGUUAAACAGGGUAAUCGAGUUUUGACAUUUUUUAUUUCACCAUUUAACUGCAGUUUAUAAUAAUGGGCCUUAGACACGGUAUGAAUUAGAGCUGUAUGCAAUUUGUUUUCUCUUCAACAUUUUAUUAGGAAAAUGAGUCUAACAAAAGGAGGUUUGAAAAUCAACUCUCAAAAACGAUAUGAGUGCUUACAAUUCCUAUCGGUUAAAUGGCAGAAGUACAAAUAACUUAAUUUGUUUUCAACUCCUAUUUGAUCUGCGUUCAAAAUACUUGUUAAUAUCUAGUCCAGAAGUUGAUUUCAGAACUUUCUGUUGGGUGAACCGUUUUCCAUGUACUAUUUUAAAGAGAAUAUAUGUGACGUAUAUAUCUAGUUCAAUCCUUGUCCAGAAGCCCAUUUUUUCAGGCACUUUCAUGACUGGUAUUCCUUUUAUAAAAAUAUGACCCCUGAUGUUGCCCUUGUCAUAAUAUAUGUGAUUUAUUUUUAAUGUUAAAUUAAUUACUUUCCUCCGACUUAGUUGCAUUUGUGAUAUAUGUAUUAGAUUAGUGAAAUUUUGUGCAAUGAUGUCUGUAUAAAUUUAAGUGAUAAUAAGU